rnacentral:rRNA from 1 species
UGGGGAAUAUUGGACAAUGGGGGCAACCCUGAUCCAGCAAUGCCGCGUGUGUGAAGAAGGCCUGAGGGUUGUAAAGCACUUUCAGUGGGGAGGAGGAUUGUUUGUUUAAGAGAUGAAUGAUUGGACGUUACCCACAGAAGAAGCACCGGCUAACUCCGUGCCAGCAGCCGCGGUAAUACGGAGGGUGCAAGCGUUAAUCGGAAUUACUGGGCGUAAAGAGUGCGUAGGUGGUUGAGUAAGUUAUCUGUGAAAUCCCUGGGCUUAACCUGGGCAGGUCAGAUAAUACUGCUUGACUCGAGUAUGGGAGAGGGUAGUGGAAUUUCCGGUGUAGCGGUGAAAUGCGUGAGAUCGGGAAGAACACCAGUGGCGAGAGCGGCUACCUGUCCUAAUACUGACACUGAGGCACGAGAGCGUGGGAGCAACA